UACGGGGGGAGCAAGCGUUGUUCGGAUUUACUGGGCGUAAAGGGCGCGUAGGCGGCGCAACAAGUCACUUGUGAAAUCUCCGGGCUUAACCCGGAGCGGCCAAGUGAUACUGUCGUGCUAGAGUGCGGAAGGGGCUACUGGAAUUCUCGGUGUAGCGGUGAAAUGCGUAGAUAUCGAGAGGAACACCUGCGGCGAAGGCGGGUAGCUGGGCCGACACUGACGCUGAUGCGCGAAGGCCAGGGGAGCGAACGGG
rnacentral:rRNA from 1 species